rnacentral:rRNA from 1 species
GACAGAGGAUGCAAGUGUUAUCCGGAAUCACUGGGCGUAAAGCGUCUGUAGGUGGUUCGAAAAGUCCACUGUUAAAAAUUGAGGCUUAACUUCAAAGAUGCCGUGGAAACUUCAAACUAGAGUAUGGUAGGGGUAGAGGGAAUUUCCAGUGGAGCGGUGAAAUGCGUAGAUAUUGGAAAGACCACCGAUGGCGAAGGCACUCUACUGGGCCACUACUGACACUGAGAGACGAAAGCUGGGGAAGCAAAUGGG